rnacentral:tRNA from 1 species
UCCCUGAUAGCUCAGUUGGUAAGAAUCUACCUGCAAUGUAGGAGACCCCAGUUCUAUUUCUGGGUCAGGAAG